rnacentral:rRNA from 1 species
UUUAACGGCCGCGGUAUUUUGACCGUGCGAAGGUAGCGCAAUCACUUGUCUUUUAAAUGAAGACCUGUAUGAAUGGCAUAACGAGGGCUAAGCUGUCUCCUUUUUCCAGUCAAUGAAAUUGAUCUGCCCGUGCAGAAGCGGGCAUACCCACAUAAGACGAGAAGACCCUAUGAAGCUUUAGACACAGGACAGACUACGUUAAAAACCCCUGACAAAAGGGCUAAACCAAACAGCUACGUCUCCUUGUCUUUGGUUGGGGCGACCGCGGGGUAACAAAAACCCCCCACGUGGAAUAAGGACACCCCUUAAGAAUAGGGCCACAGCCCUACCAAACAGACAUCUGACCAAUAAGAUCCGGCAAAGCCGAUCAACGGACCCAGUUACCCUAGGGAUAACAGCGCAAUCCUCUCCUAGAGCCCAUAUCGACGAGAGGGUUUACGACCUCGAUGUUGGAUCAGGACAUCCUAAUGGUGCAGCCGCUAUUAAGGGUUCGUUUGUUCAACGAUUAAAGUCCU